UACGAAGGGGGCUAGCGUUGCUCGGAAUUACUGGGCGUAAAGGGCGCGUAGGCGGAUGUUUAAGUCGGGGGUGAAAGCCCAGGGCUCAACCCUGGAAUUGCCUUCGAUACUGGAUAUCUUGAGUUCGGGAGAGGUGAGUGGAAUGCCGAGUGUAGAGGUGAAAUUCGUAGAUAUUCGGCGGAACACCAGUGGCGAAGGCGACUCACUGGCCCGAUACUGACGCUGAGGCGCGAAAGCGUGGGGAGCAAACAGG
rnacentral:rRNA from 1 species